GUCCUGUUCACGCCCACCUGGGCAUGACUAUCCAGGAAGUAGUAGCUUUCCAUGUGUUGAGGGUUGAUCUCUUGAGGUCUUCAAACUUCUUUCAAAGAAAAAAAAAAGGUCUUACUUUGGGAGUGCAUGCACAUGUCUCCUUACAUUACAGGUGGAGUUUGCCCAGUUGUCAUCACGUGACCAAAGACCUAAAUGUUCAUCACAGCACAGUGACAGAGUUAUGGACCAGGAGCCAAUGUUGGGCCGGCCGAAGACAAAGGGUGCCAUCCACACCCGGAACUCUGAGGAAGACCAUGAGAUGCCGUUGAAAUUGAAGAAUAAACUUCAGGAGAGAUCGUCUUAUCCAGGACGAGGAGUUGGAGGUGUGUGGAGGAGGAUUUCCAGAACAUCACAUCUUCCCUUGGUUGUGGAAUUAAAGUGGUGAAUAAUACAUGGCUGAAAGCAUCUGUCUCUCUGAGUUGCCUCUUCUGGACAGCAGGGGACCUGAAGGCAACUUUCACACUGCCAAGCCGGGGCUCCCAGAUCCUUUCCUGCAAAGAUGUUUUGACUGCAGAUAUGAGUCUCUGCUUGCCAGCACUGUUCCUAGGACACCGCCCAUGCAAGCUUUGCAGCCAAAGCACAAAUACUGGACGUCGUCCAUCUUCUCAGUGUCCCCGGUGAAGGCGGAGGGGCCCAAUGGCUACAGUGAGCCGGAGGACAACUGCGCCCCCGGCAGGGAGAUCCAGAGUGUGCAGGCCCUCCUGCCGACCGAGGGCAUGCUGCGUUCCGACUUUGUGCGCCGUCUCCGUAGCGGUGAUGUCAAUCUGGGCAUAUUUGGUGGAGCUCUUUCCUGUCAAGACGCAGAAACAGCUUGAAUUUCACCUGCAAACAAGGACUUUACCAGGACAACACUAUCCCUUCACAGAUCCCAUCCUCUGUGCAAGAGACCAACCAGCAGGUGUGACUGGUGCAGAGACAAAAGCCGUGCUCCCUCACUGGCUUCCCACCAGAAACGUCGCUAAUCAAAUCGCAUGACCAAGCCAAAGAUACUACCGCCAGGGUCUCUGCGGUGGUGGUUGCCAUCGAGCGUGCAUCGUCACGUAAACCUGAGCCACUGGACUUGGCCGCCUCCUGCACGUCCCCGUCCAUUAACCGCCCGCUCAGGCAGGAUGAUGGGAAAGAUGACAUGGGAGCCGAGUCGUGAGUGUGUGUAGGUACAUGAACAUGACGGAUGGGUUUGGUGCCACAUUGUGACAGCUGCUGGGACUUUCCUAGAGCAGGUGUGCAUUAGACUGAGGGCAUGUUUCUAGGUGUUGGAUGCUUAAGUGGCCAAACGUCCCCCGACAACUGUCCUCUCACCUCACCAUCAGGGGCAGGUAUCCUGUCGCGCGUCCCUGCACUCUCUGUCUGGUUAGACAUCUGUGUGUGGUUUUCUCUGGACACAAUUGGUUCUUACGUAACUCGAGAUUAUGGCGUUACAUAAAAUGCAGAUGGGUAAAUGAAUGUUCACGCUGCAGUGAGCCCUCCACGACACAAUGGAAAAGAGAGGUUGCUGAAACUCGUCUUUUAUUCUAAAUUAUGUUAAUGGUAACACAAAUUAUGUAUGUGACUCAUACCUGUAUGUGCUUUAUAGAUUCAUAUGUGAUUCAUCUA